ensembl:snoRNA
CUGGCCCUGAAUCAAGGCCUGUACUGUUGGUUUCAAGCAAGAGCCUAAAAAGAUGUCUUUCAAUGGUCUGUUGGCUAUUUCAGAACUUGGGCAGUGAAAUGGUCAAUUCAUUAGAAAAAAACAGCU